CUGGAAUAUCUCCUUCAGCUGCAACACCAUCUGGCGUUUUGGGAGAGCACGGACACCGAAUCUGAAAGAGAAGGUUUCUACAUUAGCAGUGGCUGUGGAGAGCCAACCUUUCAACUCGCUCCAGCCAGCAGGAAUUAGCAGCACACACCAAGAACAUUUCUCCAGGCCUUCAUAGGUGGGAUACCUGUGAGGCUGCUCUGGGGCUGCCAGCAAACACAGCUCCCGAUGCGACGCUCCAGGCAGUGAGCCCAGAACAGAUUUCCUGCUGGUGCUAAAAUUAUCAAUCAAGAAUGGGGAAAUUAAACAAGGCCAGAAACCUCCUGGCUGCUCCAUUCUCUGUGCAAGGCAGAGAAACUGGCCAGAAGACAGCUCUGAGCAGGUUUGAGCUGUGUGUUGGAGAACAUUCUCUCCUGCUGAGGAGGCCACUGAGACUGGACCCCACUGAUGUGACCAAGGGUUUUCAUACAGGGGAUGUGUUACCAAUGCAAUAAGUGCUUUUGCUCUACAUGGUUACACUGUUUGUGCUCAUAUAAAGCACAAAUCUCUCCCACUGACAAUCCAGCUCUUCAACACUUCAUCUGCUCAGGAAAACUAUAAUGGAAUCAAACAGACUCUGAAAAAAUGACCAUACUGGUUUUGCUGGGAGCAACUGAGUUUCAACAACAGUGUGAGAACAGUUUGUGUAUUGCUAAAGGCUUCUGGUUUAAUAGAAAAACAAAACAAGACAUUUUCCUGCUAAGGAUAAUUUUUUUGAAUACUCCCAAAUAAUAUCCAGAGCUUCUGUACCAAGUAGCUGGGAUGCUCAAGUUUAACACCAAUUCUCAGCUCAAGGAAUUGUCUCCUUUUAGAAGUAUCUUAAUCCUUUAAGCAUAUGGAAGUAUGUUGUCAGAGCAUCAAAAUUUAUCCAGCACCAAAAUGCACUUCCUUUCAGGGCAUGAUUAUUCAUUAUCAAGCAAAAGAUAGUAAGUUUUAUCAGAUAAAAUGGAUGACCUAGGUAAGAAAAUUAAUUAGUUUUAUUUUGUAUGAACUUCAAUUGAAUAAAACUGAUUAUACAUUCA